rnacentral:rRNA from 1 species
UACGAAGGGUGCAAGCGUUACUCGGAAUCACUGGGCUUAAAGCGUGUGUAGGCGGGCCCGUAAGUGUCUUGUGAAAUCCCACGGCUCAACCGUGGAACUGCUGGGCAUACUGCGGGUCUUGGGCCAACUAGGGGCAGCCGGAACAAGCGGUGGAGCGGUGAAAUGCGUAGAUAUCGCUUGGAACGCCGAAGGUGAAAACAGGCUGCUGGGGUUGCGCCGACGCUGAGACACGAAAGCCAGGGGAGCAAACGGG